rnacentral:miRNA from 1 species
CAGAAUACCCAAUUAAAUUUGAGUUUCAGAUAAACAAUCAGUAAUUUUUAGUGUAAGUAUAUCUUAUGCAAUGUUUGGGACAUACUUAUACUAAAAAUUAUUUAUUUAUUUGAAAUUCAAAUUUAACUGGGCAUCCUUUA